ACAGUGCCUUCUCUGAUGUUUGUGUGUGCAAACCCUCUUGGCUAGAAGUUGUAGUCGCAGAAGUGUGCAUAGGUUGGAUAGAUGGUGACUGCCCAGGUGGAACCAUAGUAUGGGAAGAGGAAGGGCUGCAAGUAAGGCUAGAUGUGUGUUGUAUGGUAUUUGGGUAUUGAAAAUAAAGUAAUGGAUAUGUAGGAAAUGAUGGUGGCAUAGUGGAGGAAGAGGAUGGGGUAGUGAAAGUAGUGGGAAUGGAACCAAAACAUGAUGGUUGAGUAGAAAAAGAUCCUGAGGUCAUAGUAAGGAGAUGUGGUGGAAUAGGAUGGAAAGGAGGCAGCAUAGUUGAAGAGAGUGGU
rnacentral:lncRNA from 1 species